AGCGCACGAGGCCUUUACUGACGCUAAAGCUCGAAGGUGCGGGUAUCGAACAGGAUUAGAUACCCUGGUAGUCCGCACGGUAAACGAUGGAUGCCCGCUGUUUGCGAUACACUGUGAGCGGCCAAGCGAAAGCGUUAAGCAUCCCACCUGGGGAGUACGCCGGCAACGGUGAAACUCAAAGGAAUUGACGGGGGCCCGCACAAGCGGAGGAACAUGUGGUUUAAUUCGAUGAUACGCGAGGAACCUUACCCGGGCUUGAACUGCCGGCGAACGAUACAGAGAUGUUGAGGCCCUUCGGGGCGCCGGCGGAGGUGCUGCAUGGUUGUCGUCAGCUCGUGCCGUGAGGUGUCGGCUUAAGUGCCAUAACGAGCGCAACCCCUCUCCGUAGUUGCCAUCGGGUGAUGCCGGGCACUCUGCGGACACUGCCACCGUAAGGUGUGAGGAAGGUGGGGAUGACGUCAAAUCAGCACGGCCCUUACGUCCGGGGCUGCACACGUGUUACAAUGGGUGGUACAGAGGGCAGGCGUCCGGCAACGUCCGUCUAAUCCCGAAAGCCAUCCUCAGUUCGGACUGGGGUCUGCAACCCGACCCCACGAAGCUG
rnacentral:rRNA from 1 species